rnacentral:rRNA from 1 species
UAAGGAAUAUUGCGCAAUGGACGAAGGUCUGACGCAGCGACGCCGCGUGGGGGAUGAAGGUCUUCGGAUUGUAAACCCCUUUCGGGAGGGAAGAUGGAACGAGCAAUCGUUCGGACGGUACCUCCAGAAGCAGCCACGGCCAACUUCGUGCCAGCAGCCGCGGUAAUACGAAGGUGGCAAGCGUUGUUCGGAUUCACUGGGCGUACAGGGUGUGUAGGCGGUUUGGUAAGCCUUCUGUUAAAGCUUCGGGCCCAACCCGGAAAGCGCAGAGGGUACUGCCAGGCUAGAGGGCGGGAGAGGAGCGCGGAAAUCCCGGUGUAGCGGUGAAAUGCGUAGAGAUCGGGAGGAAGGCCGGUGGCGAAGGCGGCGCUCUGGAACGUACCUGACGCUGAGACACGAAAGCGUGGGGAGCAAACAGGAUUAGAUACCCUGGUAGUCCACGCCCUAAACUAUGGAUACUAAGUGUCGGCGGGUUACCGCCGGUGCCGCAGCUAACGCAUUAAGUAUCCCGCCUGGGAAGUACGGCCGCAAGGUUGA